CUACCACUCCCUCCGUCCAAAAAUACUUGUCAUUGAAAUGGAUAUAUCUAGAUGUAAUUUAGUUCUAGACACAUCCAUUUUGAUGACAAGUAAUUCCGGACGAAGGGAGUAUUAU
rfam:Triticum aestivum genome assembly, contig: Triticum_aestivum_CS42_TGACv1_scaffold_514930_6BS